CGUGUCUCUAGUGCCAGCAGCCGCGGUAAUACGUAGGGUGCAAGCGUUAAUCGGAAUUACUGGGCGUAAAGCGUGCGCAGGCGGUGAUGUAAGACAGAUGUGAAAUCCCCGGGCUCAACCUGGGAACUGCAUUUGUGACUGCAUCGCUGGAGUACGGCAGAGGGGGAUGGAAUUCCGCGUGUAGCAGUGAAAUGCGUAGAUAUGCGGAGGAACACCGA
rnacentral:rRNA from 1 species